rnacentral:lncRNA from 1 species
UAAAUAUCUUUGCUUUUUUUUCUUAUGUCAGUGCUUGUAGAUAUGUCCCAGCUAAUUUGUGGGUUAGAUUUUCAGUAUAGGGAAAUAAUUAGUCUCCAUGCUUCUUGCCUUUAAGUGAAUUUAAGUGUUCACAGUUGUAUUUGUCUUUUAGAGUCUCUGUAACAGAGCUCUACACACUGGGUGGCUUAAAACAACACAAUUUUAUUCUCUUCCAGUUCUGGGGACUAGAAGCCUGAAAUCAAGGUGUUAACAGGGCCAAGCUUCUUCUAAAACUUGUGGUAGAAUCCUUCCUUUCCUCUAGCUUCUGAAGGUGGCUGUUGGUCCUUGCUGCUCCCUUCCUUACAGCUGCAUCACUCCAAUCUCUGCCUCUGUCCUCACGUGGUUUUUCUCUUUUUGUAGCAGUUAGAACUUUAUUAUAUCUUUUGAGAGAGUACCGUCAAACCCAUAACAACACCAAAGAACCUUUAAUUAUCUAUUGGGCAGCAUGCCAUCAUAGCAGACAGAGCUCUGAGUUGGUGCUGGGCAAAUGUCUAGCCUACAUUUCCAGAUACAUAACCGAGGAUUUUCCUCUAAGAGCUGUGAUAAAGAUUUAGAAAUGUGACAAGGAUCUUUCUUUCUUUCUUUCUUUCUUUCUUUUUUUUUUUCUUUUUUAGGGCUACACCUGAGGCAUAUGGAGGUUCCCAGGCUAGGGGUCCAGUUGGAGCUACAGCGGCCAGCCUGGGCCAUAGCCACAGCAACAACAGAUCCGAGCCACGUCUGCAACCUACACACAGCUCACAGCAAAUCCAGAUCCUUAACCCACCAAGUGAGGCCAGGGAUCGAACCCACAACCUCAUGGUUCCUAGUCGGAUUCGUUUCCGAUGCACCACGAUGGGAAUUUCCAAAGACCUUUCAAUGACAAUAGAACUACUAUUGCUGUCUUUAAAGAGAAACAUGGCCAAUAUGGGCAAGUGAAAUUUGAUUUAUUGUCUCAUAAAAUCAUGUUGAUCUCUACCUCACAUAGUCCCUUACUAGACAAGGCUAAGAUGUUGUUGUUUUCUACCUUUGCAUUGUCAAUUAAGCAAUGUCAGGUGAUGAGAUAUCUUGCAAAUGCAGCCAACUCACAAAUUGAAUAUGAAGCACUGAGUAACAGGAAAAUGCCUGUAUUUCUUUAAUAACAAUUUUCUGUUUUAACUCAAGGUAAAGGACUGAAAAAUGUCAGUGAAAGAUUUUUAAGACUAGAUGUUAAUUAGUAUAUCCAGAACUACUCGGCAUCUAUUGUAUAUAAAGUACUACUCUUGAAGUUUUUGAUGCAAUAAUACUGAAACAAUAGAGAUGUGGUUCAUAGACUGGUGUCCUGGGUCUCUAGAGGCACUGGAGGUGUAAUAGGAAUUUGCAUGCAAGUUCUAAUUUAACAAACGUCCCUAAAAUUGUAUUGUCAUUAAAUUAGCACAGCAUAACUAAAAUGUUCUUUUUUCUUUGGAUUGAACUUACAUAUUUUUGAUUAUACUGGUUAUCUCAUGCUGGGUAUAUGUUCUCUUUGGCAACCAUAUAUCUUUAUUUUUCCCCCCAAUCUUUUUUCAGCCACACCAGUGGCAAAUGGAAGUUCCUGGGCCAAGGAUCAAAUCCAAGCCACAGCAAUCAUCCAAACCACCGCAGAGACAAUACAGGAUUCUUAGCCCAUUGCACCACAGUGGGAACUCCACAUAUAUCUUUUAAAAUAAAUAAAAAUAAUUUAUUUAUGUUGAAGUAUUUAAGAUCAUUUAAAAAUCAAAAUAGAGUAACUGAGGUUUAGGAUCCAAAGUGGAGAUGGGUGGACUAUUGCGGAUUUGAUUUCAAACAUGUUUCUGCUUCACUGAGAACCUGAGUUAUCUGAAUUGUAUCAAAUUCAUGGACAUCACCAGCCAUUUUCAAAACAGUAUUGGCCAGCAGCUGCCAGCUACAGCAUUAUGGUCUCAAGGUUGUAACUUGUAACUGUGCAACCAUUUCAGACCCCCAUCAAUCCUUGCUUAACAAACCUGCAUACUUCUUGCCAGCUCCAGUCCUAAUUCUUGACAAACAUCUUAUAUAACUUUGCAGUUUUUGCCUAUGUAUGACUCCCCAUUUUGUAGUCCAGUGGAACACAAUUCAAGUGUUGCUUGAAACUGUGCUGUGUCUCACAGGCUACAGUCCUUAGCUUGGCUUGAAUAAAGCUUUUUAUUUUCUUUGUGAUAGAUUUUUAUUAUUUGCAUCCACACUUACAAUGUGUGAUUUUUUUGGUAUACAGAAUCUAAAAAAACAUGAGAAUAGAAGGAAACUGAGAUUUUAAUGAGGGAUUCUUAGCUAAACUGUCGAGAAAAGGGUCAGUCCAAAAGGUGGAUACUAACCAUAUGACCCCCUUUUAAUGACCGUAGAUAAAACAUGACAGUCUUCCAAAUACUUUGUUCUAUUUUCACUUAAAACCAUUACUUAACUUAAAUGCCUUUUAACUAUGACCUUCUAGAAUUCCCUGCAUAAUUUUCCACUGUUUAAAAUGCAGUUGGCUGAUUGAGUCCUUUCACAUUUCAGAAAAGUCUUGUAUCAUUUUAAUGAUUAUGUGGAGUGUGCCUGUUCUCAGAACUAUAAGCAAACAGAGCCAAAACACUAGAGAGAACAAUUUAUAUAUUUAGGCAAAACCUCAGACAGGUCAGAAUGCUUUUAUGAUACAAUACUUAAAUAAGACAAAGCCUAGGAGGGCAGAAUCACCAUUCCUGAAAGAUCUCAAACCCCAAAUCAGAAUAUUCUACACAAGGAGACAAUGAUAUUCUACAACAUUUAUUGAAACAAUAUGCCCUUGUUUAUGAUGUGACAAUUCCCCAUGGUUUUCCCACGUUGUCUGGAAUCCCUGAGAAGAUCAAUAGAAACUAUUUCCCUGAUCUGUCUUAACUGGUUCUGAAGCAGAAUAAUAAGUCAGGUGGUUACUGUAGGAACGUGGGCUUCGAUAUAGUUUUUGAUAUGAUCAUUAAUUAACAUCUGUAAUUUAAGGGUUCCAGGGAAUAACAUCCCCACUGGUCUUGUUUACUGCUGGGAGUACAUCUGUUUUACGUCUAGAUAGACAUUAAUCUCUAACCCACUCCUGAACUGAAGGAGAUGAGUGGAAUGGUGACUCCCAGUCUAGGGAAAAGAAGAGCAAAGAAACCUUAAAACUUACAGGGCAUAUAUCCACCUCUAAGACCCCUAUUGGACAAGGACUGAUAUAGGUAAACUGGGCAAGGCCAGUGGAAAAAAGAGCUGAUAUCUGGACCCCACGAUGGGCUCCUGUCUUUAAGAAAUGAAAACCAGAGUUCCCAUCGUGGCUCAGCAGUUAACGAACCUAACUAGUAUCUACAAGGACUCGGGUUCAAUCCCUGGCCUCGCUCAGUGGGUUGAGGAUCCAGCAUUGCCGUGAGCUAUGGUGUAGGUUGCAGACGCAGCUCGGAUCCUGCGUUGCUUUAGCUGCGACCUAGGCCGGCAGCUACAGCUCCAAUUCAAACCCUAGACUGGGAACCUCCAUGUGCCACAGGUGCGGCCCUAAAAAAGAUUAAAAAAAGAAAAAAAGAAAAGAAAUAAAAACCUCCAUAGAACAAUAGAAAGGGGGACUCUUCCUCCCCCUCCCAGUAUCUGUGCUGGGAGCUGUUUGCUUUCCUGUAAUAAAGACUUUUGGCUUGCUUGCUGCCUGUGUGUUUUCACGAAGUUCAUUCUUCAGCUCCGUGAACAAGAACUUGGAUUCUGGUAACAUCUGUCCAGUAAGGUUCUAUCGAUUUCCCUAAACUUUAAUUUAGUAUGAUCUUGUUUAUCAUACCUUUUUUUUUUUUUUCUUAGAGUAGAACAGAUCCUUAAUACAAAGCAUUUUUCAUUCCUCGAGAAAGAUGUUCCAAAGCGGCCAGGGUAUGCUCUUGCUUUCAUGCAGAGACUCAAUAAUAAGCAGCUCCUUGUCUUUACUUCUUUUCCCCAAUAACUUGUCUUAAAAUCAGUUCAUUUCUUUUUAGGUAGGGGAUAUCACACAACAUUCUCUGUUGGAGGGUAUACGCAGUGAGAAAAAUCACUCCCUAAGUUAUUUUUUAAAAAGCUAUACCUUCUCAUAAGGCACAACAUACAUACAUACCAGCAUUAAGGGUACAGCUCAGAAACAUUUUAUGCAGUGAACCCACUUGUGAGGCCAUGACUAGAGAAAGAAAUCAACAUUUGUUAGCACUCUAGAAGCCCCUGUAAGGCCACCUCACAGUCACUCCCAACCUACUUCACCCCAGAAAAUAACCCUUUUGCUGACUUUUAUCACCAGAGAUUAAUUUGUCUGAUUUCAGAUAGUAAGUACUCUUUUGUACCUGGCUCAGCAUUCUGCUUGUUGAGGAUGCUGAAGCAGUGAUUGGCUCAUUUUUAUUGCUGAUUCAUAUUCUGUGGUAUGAAAAUGCAAAAAUUUAUUUUUCCAUUCUAUCUUGGAUGGACCUUUGGGUUGUUCCUAAUAUUUGACUCUUAAGAAUACUGCUGCAUUAAAAUAGUUGUGUUUUGGAGAACACAUGUACAUACUUCUGUGGAUAUAUAUAGAGAAGUGAAGUUGCUGGGUUGUAAACAGUGGUGUGCUGGAGCAGUCUUGCAUGGCUUAUAAAAGCCCACAGUUAAAUCUUUAGGAAAUUUGCAGUCCAGUUGUUGAACAUAGACAUUAACAGUUGUUAUAUAAAUUUACAAUUAAAUUAUUUUAAAAUGAUAGUAAUAAAUACUCAAAACCUUUCAUUUCCUUAUUUUUCCUUUACUACAUUUUGCUACUAUCUGAGAUCCCAACAUUUUUUACAUUUAUUGUGUCUAUAUGGUAGAAAUAUAAUGAUGUGCUACUAUGCAUCGCUUCUCAAUUUUGCAUUCCUGAGCAAUCACGUAGGUAGCAUUGCACUGGUUUUGUUGAUAGUAAAUACACCAUAGAGAUUGGUAAUUACUAAAAAUCAGUACUUAACAUAGUGUUUUAUUGAUCAUCAAGAUUCACAGGAGUCCCUGUUUUGGCUCAGGAUUACGAACCCGAAUAGUAUCCAUAAGGAUGCAUCUUUGAUCACUGGUUUUGCUCAGUGGGUUAAGGAUCUGCUGUUGCCAUGUAGGUUGCAGAUGAGGCUCAGAUCUGGUGUUGCUAAGGCUGUGGAGUAGGCCAGCAGCUGCAACUCUGAUUCAACCCCUAGCCUGGGAACUUACAUAUGC